GUGCUUGCUACUGCAGCACAUAUACUAAAAUUGUAAUGAUGCAGAGAAGAUUACUACAACCUCUGUGCAAGGAUGCCAUGCAAAUUCAGGAAGUGUUCCAUAUUAUU
ensembl:snRNA U6 U6 spliceosomal RNA